GUUGGAUUAACUGGGGUUGUGUCUGCUUACCAAUUUGUGUCCAUUUCUCAAACUCUAACCUUCCUUCUUCCCCAAUUCACAUGAAUGAGACGGGGGACGUUGUGACAUUGUCAAGGAAAGCAGCAAUCAGCGGCCCGUCACAAACGUGCGGCAAAUGACGAAGAGAUUAUCCAUCUGCACAACGUUUCUCGAGUUUCUGGAUGCAUUUUGCCAUGUAGAGGAGAUGUGUCCCAUUUUAAACAGGGCUAUGUGUGCGUGUGCGUGCGAAUCUGUCAAGUCCAACUGGCACCGAAAGGCCCCAGGAGCAUUGAACAAUUUCAUUUCUCAUACUCCAAAUUACAUCUAGAUUACAUUUUAACUCCCCAAGUCCCUCAAAGGCUCACCUGGCCACAAUGAAAUAAGCCGAUACCACCAUCUGGACUCCACAAAAGCCUGAUGCAGGAACUAUGCAGCUUACGCAGCGACGUAUCUGCCAGCCUCAAAAACCACAAUGUUACGGCAGCUGUUGGAUUGUAUGGAUCGUAUUGCUUGGAUGAACAUCUACCUCCUGCCAUCCAGUCAGCCCUGCGAGGGUCCUAAACUGUCCUACGGUCACAUGCUUCAACACAACAAGUCUCGGAGACAACAUCAAGCACCAUUUAUCCUUAAAAUAAUAUGUUAAAAAUAUAAACAUAUGUUUUCUUUAUUAUGUCUUCGUGUUGACAGUGUUUCCCUUCAAUAUCCCCUGACCCCCUUAUUUCAGCAUGCUACAGAACCUGUUUUCUGGCAUGUUCCACAUUCUAUGGUAAGAUAAUGGGUUAUAAUAGCAUUGUUUUUAACUCCGGAUUAUCUGUUCUAUGAGGUUCUGUGUGGUGUCAAAGGUUUGCGGUGUGAAAUGAUGCACUGAUGUAACUGCAAAUUGUUUAGCAACCACACUCCCGUAAACAAAUUGCCUCAUGAGUGCUUGCUUCAUUAAAUAUUAAUACGCUUUGUACGAUCAAGAACGUAGUCGCACACUUGUCGCAAGCAACCUUCGUCAUUGAUAUUGAUUUAGAAAAUUGAAAUAAUAUAAUCUGAACAUGUAGGAUUCGUUACCCAGGUUAAAGUAUAAACAGUGUAUAAAACAACAUAAUCCAGGGUUAACAACGUUGCUCUCGUCUUAUUCUUUAUGGUUCCCUUUUAAUUGGACACCCAUUUUACAUCCACAUGUGCUUGUUAAAUAAAACACUUGGCUUACAGCAAGUUGUCUUUUAAUUCAGUUUUUUUUUUUAAUCAAUUUUACUCAUUUGGGAAAGAUUUUUUCAGUAGAUGUUAGAACAAAGCCAGGACAUUUUCUUUACAUUCAGACACAUUCUUUUUGUGUCCACACAA